rnacentral:rRNA from 1 species
GGAAUAUUGCACAAUGGGCGCAAGCCUGAUCCAGCAACGCCGCGUGGAGGACGAAGGUCUUCGGAUCGUAAACUCCUGUCAGACGGGACGAAGGGUUCAGGGUGAACAAUCCUGGAUUUUGACGGUACCGUCAGAGGAAGCCCCGGCUAACUCCGGGCCAGCAGCCGCGGUCAUACGGAGGGGGGCAGCGUUAUUCGGAAUUAUUGGGCGUAAAGGGCGCUUAGGCGGCCUGACAAGUCAAAGGUGAAAUCCCUCGGCUCAACUGAGGAACUGCCUUUGAAACUGUCAGGCUUGAGGCCGGGAGGGGGUAGCGGAAUUCCCAGUGUAGCGGUGAAAUGCGUAGAUAUUGGGAGGAACACCAGUGGCGAAGGCGGCUACCUGGACCGGUACUGACGCUGAUGCGCGAAAGCGUGGGUAGCAAAC